rnacentral:lncRNA from 1 species
CACAGUUGUGGGUGUUGCGCAUGAUGUUGACAAGGAGGAACAAGAAGUCGAAGCCCGUGGUGCGGGAGAAAAGUGGUGGACGCUCCCUUGUGGAGGAUGUUUGCCCCGGAUUUCCUGGGUAAGGUUGAAACAGUUGUUUGCGCGGAUGGCGAGGAGGAGUUUAAUGUCCUCAUUCGAGAUAACUUCCGGGUGCCUACUGAGGCCGCAUUGGCAGUUGAGUUGCCGCGGGGCAAAGGUGAUCUUGGGGCCUUAGGGGAUCCUGACGCGAAGGGUGUGCCCAAGAGGCAAACGGUGAAAGGCGUGCGCUU